CCGACUCCGGGGAGCCCCUGGCUGCUUCCCAGAGCUGGGUUGGGAAGGGGACCUUAGCCCGCUGCCGCCUCCGAGCGGACCGCCAGGUGCAUUCUUUUCUGGAUGUUUCACGUGACCACAUCAUACAGUAUGUGGCUUCUCUAACCUAGCAUGGCUACUCUCUGGGAGUUCAUUCGGACUGUAGCAUGGACCAGUAUUUUACUCCUCAUGCUACUGAACAACAAUAUUCCAUUGUACAGAUAGACUGCACUUUAUUUAUCCACCCACCAGUCGACGGACAUGUGGGUUGUUUCCAAGUUUAUAAUGCCGCUGUGAGCACCUACAAUCAAGUCUGUGUGGACACGGGCUUUCAUUUCUCUUGGCUUCGUUCUGGGAAACAGAGGACUCCCGUGCAAACGUCAAUGGAAAGACGGCAGGUGCUCACUCACACGGCAGAAAUGCGCCCAGAAGCCGACAGACGCCGGUGAACAGGUCUCCAGCAGGGUCGCUGCACCCUGGCUUGGUGGCCUGCCCAGGGAUUCUCCCCCAGGAGCUCAAGCUCAAGAGGGGCGCCGCGGAUAGUUGGCAGAGCUGGGGUAUCCGCUCCCCUCUCCCAGUUUCCCUCCCCUCACGGGGAAUCCCCAGAGGGCAUCUCACCACAGGUUCCUAAUUCUUUUAGAUGAUCGAAUCUGCAUCCAAGGAGCUAAAACUAUUUGUUGUUUUAUUACCAUUGGGUCUUAUUCCUUGAGACCUGGGCAGGCUGGCGGGUAUUUGUCCUUCACUACCUUUGUCAAUCCUUUGAGGUAGGGAAGUAGUCAUCCCCGUAUUACAGAUAAGAUUCAGACGUCAGCAACAUACCUGAGAGACUGCCUGUCCCAGAAGAGGCAGAACCAGGAUUUGAACCCAGAUGAUUGGCCUCUAUAGUGGGAGCUCUUGACCACCACCAGCCCAGUUGGGGACAGUAGCCCAGGUCCUAGAAACCCUCAGAUUCUGCCCUCGCCAGAGGGUCCCAAGAGGCUUUAUGGAUAUUGAAUCUUUGCCAACUGGACCUUUUUACCCUCAUGGUUUUAUUAUGAAACUUGUCGAGCAUAAAGAAAGUUGAGCCCUGGCUGGUGUAGCUCAGUGGAUUGAGUGCAGGCCUACGAACCACACAAUUGUGGUUCGAUUCCCAGCCAGGACACAUGCCUGGGUUGCAGGCCAGUUCCCAGCAGGGGAUGCACGAAAGGCAACCAUACAUUGAUGUUUCUCUCCCUCUCUCCUUCCCUUCCUCUCUAAAGAUAAAUAAAAUAAAAUAAGAAAACUGAAAUAAUUAUGCAGUGAACAAACAUUCCUAAGAACAGGGCACAAUGAUAACGCCCGUAUUUUUUUUUUUUUUUGGCCCUGAUACUGACAUAGUACUAUUCAUAGUAACAGUUUGUUCAGUCUUCCAAAUUCCUAAAACAAAAUAAAGGUAGUGGAAUGAGCCCUGACUAGUGUGGCUCAGCCGGGCAUUGUCCCACAAAGCAAAGGGUCACCAGUUCGAUCCCUGGUCAGGGCACAUGUCUGGGUUGCGGGCUGAGUCCCCAAUCGGGACAUGAGCAACAAGCAGCCCAGCGAUUUGACUCUCACACGUCAAUGUUUCUCUCUCUCUCCCUGUCUUCCCCUCUCUCUAAAAAGAAAUAAAUAAAAUCUUUUUUAAAAAGUUAGUGAAAUGACAUUUUAAGUACUAAAGUGUGGAAAUAUCACAUCAAGUACAAUUACAUUGAUAAAUAUCUGAGUUAUACAUUAUUCUAAUAACAGCUGAUAAAAUUUUAACAUCUAUAAAGUU